GACGAACCGUGCAAACGUUAUUCGGAAUCACUGGGCCUAAAGGGCGCGUAGGCGGCUUCAUAAGUCAGGGGUGAAAUCCGGCAGCUUAACUGUCGCAGUGCCUUUGAUACUGUGGAGCUCGAGGGAGGUAGGGGUCUGUGGAACUUCCGGUGGAGCGGUGAAAUGCUUAGAUAUCGUCAAGAACACCGAUAGUGAAGACAGUUUACUAGGCUUCUACUGACGCUGAGGCACGAAAGUGUGGGGAUCAAACAGG
rnacentral:rRNA from 1 species